rnacentral:rRNA from 1 species
GUAGGUGGCAAGCGUUGUCCGGGAAUUAUUGGGGCGUAAAGCGCGCGCAGGUGGUUCUUAAGGUCUGAUGUGAAAGCCCCCGGGCUCAACCGGGGGGAGGGUCAUUGGAAACUGGGGAACUUGAGUGCAGGAGAGGAAAGUGGAAUUCCACGUGUAGCGGUGAAAUGCGUAGAUAUGUGGAGGAACACCAGUGGCGAAGGCGACUUUCUGGCCUGUAACUGACACUGAGGCGCGAAAGCGUGGGGAGCAAACAGGAUUAGAUACCCUGGUAGUCCACGCCGUAAACGAUGAGUGCUAAGUGUUGGGGGGUUUCCGCCCCUCAGUGCUGCAGCUAACGCAUUAAGCACUCCGCCUGGGGAGUACGGUCGCAAAGACUGA